CAGCAGCCACGGGAAUACGUAGGGCGCAAGCGUUAUCCGGAAUUAUUGGGCGUAAAGAGCUCGUAGGCGGUUUGUCGCGUCUGCCGUGAAAGUCCGGGGCUCAACCCCGGAUCUGCGGUGGGUACGGGCAGACUAGAGUGAUGUAGGGGAGACUGGAAUUCCUGGUGCAGCGGUGAAAUGCGCAGAUAUCAGGAGGAACACCGAUGGCGAAGGCAGGUCUCUGGGCAUUAACUGACGCUGAGGAGCGAAAGCAUGGGGAGCGAACAGGAUUAGAUACCCGGGUAGUCCCUGUCUCUUAUAC
rnacentral:rRNA from 1 species